AUACGAAGGGGGCAAGCGUUGUUCGGAAUAACUGGGCGUAAAGCGCACGUAGGCGGAAUGUUAAGUUAGAGGUGAAAUCCCAGGGCUCAACCCUGGAACUGCCUUUAAUACUGGCAAUCUAGAGACCGAGAGAGGUGAGUGGAGUUCCGAGUGUAGAGGUGAAAUUCGUAGAUAUUCGGAGGAACACCAGUGGCGAAGGCGGCUCACUGGCUCGGUACUGACGCUGAGGUGCGAAAGCGUGGGGAGCAAACAGGAUUAGAAACCCUAGUAGUCC
rnacentral:rRNA from 1 species